rnacentral:rRNA from 1 species
GGGCGGGGGGGGCCUAUACCUGCAAGUCGAGCGGACAGAAGGGAGCUUGCUCCCGGAUGUUAGCGGCGGACGGGUGAGUAACACGUGGGUAACCUGCCUGUAAGACUGGGAUAACUCCGGGAAACCGGAGCUAAUACCGGAUAGUUCCUUGAACCGCAUGGUUCAAGGAUGAAAGACGGUUUCGGCUGUCACUUACAGAUGGACCCGCGGCGCAUUAGCUAGUUGGUGGGGUAAUGGCUCACCAAGGCGACGAUGCGUAGCCGACCUGAGAGGGUGAUCGGCCACACUGGGACUGAGACACGGCCCAGACUCCUACGGGAGGCAGCAGUAGGGAAUCUUCCGCAAUGGACGAAAGUCUGACGGAGCAACGCCGCGUGAGUGAUGAAGGUUUUCGGAUCGUAAAGCUCUGUUGUUAGGGAAGAACAAGUGCGAGAGUAACUGCUCGCACCUUGACGGUACCUAACCAGAAAGCCACGGCUAACUACGUGCCAGCAGCCGCGGUAAUACGUAGGUGGCAAGCGUUGUCCGGAAUUAUUGGGCGUAAAGGGCUCGCAGGCGGUUUCUUAAGUCUGAUGUGAAAGCCCCCGGCUCAACCGGGGAGGGUCAUUGGAAACUGGGAAACUUGAGUGCAGAAGAGGAGAGUGGAAUUCCACGUGUAGCGGUGAAAUGCGUAGAGAUGUGGAGGAACACCAGUGGCGAAGGCGACUCUCUGGUCUGUAACUGACGCUGAGGAGCGAAAGCGUGGGGAGCGAACAGGAUUAGAUACCCUGGUAGUCCACGCCCUUAAACGAUGAGUGGCUAAGGGUUUAGAGGGUUUCCG